rnacentral:rRNA from 1 species
AUACGUAGGGGGCGAGCGUUGUCCGGAAUGAUUGGGCGUAAAGGGCGCGUAGGCGGCGCGGUAAGUCUGGAGUGAAAGUCCUGCUUUCAAGGUGGGAAUUGCUUUGGAUACUGCCGCGCUUGAGUGCAGGAGAGGUUAUCGGAAUUCCCGGUGUAGCGGUGAAAUGCGUAGAGAUCGGGAGGAACACCAGUGGCGAAGGCGGGUAACUGGACUGCAACUGACGCUGAGGCGCGAAAGUGUGGGGAGCAAACAGGAUUAGAUACCCUGGUAGUCCACACUGUAAACGAUGAAUGCUAGGUGUAGGGGGUAUCGACCCCUUCUGUGCCGCAGUAAACACAAUAAGCAUUCCGCCUGGGGAGUACGGUCGCAAGAUUAAAACUCAAAGGAAUUGACGGGG